rnacentral:SRP_RNA from 1 species
CCGUGCUAGAUAGGGAGCUAGCGGUGCCCUGUAACCCGAAAUCCGCUUAUGCGGGGUCGAAAGUCCUCUAUAAGACCCUUGAUAAUAAUUGACCCUUAGCUGCUCUGAGGAGAGAUGGACUUCACGCAACAGACCCUUGGAAACCCCGUCAGGUCCGGAAGGAAGCAGCGGUAACUAAGUAAGCCUGUGUCGUGAUGGUAUCUAUCUUUGGCCUUUUGGUAGCAAGGACUAUUUAGUCAUGGAUUAAAUAAGGAUGCACGG